GUCGAACGCUGGCGGCGUGCUUAACACAUGCAAGUCGAACGGAAAGGCCCUGCUUUUGUGGGGUGCUCGAGUGGCGAACGGGUGAGUAGCACGGGAGUAACCUGCCCUUUACUUUGGGAUAACUUCAGGAAACUGGUGCUAAUACCUGAUAGGAGCUCCUGCUGCAUGGUGGUGGUUGGAAAGCUUAGGCGGUGGUGGAUGUACUCGCGGCUUAUCAGCUUGUUGGGGGGGUAGUGGCUUACCAAGGCUUUGGCGGGUGGUCCGCCUGAGAGGGGAGACAGCGACAAUGGGACUGAGAGACGGCGCAGACUGCUACGGGGGGCAGCGGGGGGGAAUAUUGCCCAGUGGGCGGGAGCGUGAUGCAGAAACGCUGCGUGUGGGAUGACGGCCUUCGGGGUGUAAACCGCAUUCGCCUAUGACGAAGCGUGAGUGACGGUAAUGGGUAAAGAAGCACCGGCUAACUACGUG
rnacentral:rRNA from 1 species